rnacentral:lncRNA from 1 species
CAAAACCAACAAAGGUUUUUGGUGAACCCGGAAAACCAAAGUGUAUAGGUUCGUUGGUGAGCCCGUAAAACCAACAAAGGUUUUUGGAUUGUGAGCCCGGAAAAUAAUCCAACUGUAAUCCGCGGGAUUAUAGUGAAUUCCCAAGGGGACGCUUGGGGAGUGGACGUAGGUGCUAAGGAGAGCACCGAUCCACUAUAUAUUGUUGUGUUUGUGUUGUGCUUGUGUUUACGUUUAUUCUUGCAUCAUCUUCUAUCUUUGCACUAGUUUAAAUCAUUCAAAUAGUUUAAGAAAGCAUCCACUGCACUUAAUUAAGAAAGUCCUUUUUAAACACCAAAAAUUUAGAAGAAACUAAUUCACCCCCCCCUCUUGGUUUGUCACCUUGGGCAACAAGUGGUAUCAGAGCAAGGUGCUCUAAUAGUACUCAUUGAUCUCACAAUCAAGAGUUAAAGAUCAUGACAACCCAAGUGGGAUGUUCUAUGAGUGAGGGACAAUUAAUUGAUAGACCACCUCUAUUUAAUAGCACAAACUACACAUACUGGAAAGCUAGGAUGA